AAUCGAGGCAUGAUUUAAAGUGUAAUUGACGUUAGAUCCAGGUGAGUAGUUGAGAAAGUGGUUAUAAGAGAGUAAAGUACACAGCGGGAAUAGGUGCAGGGAAGGCCGGAGAGCUUGGCUAUGAUUCGUGCUGAAGUUUGCGCUCAUGUUUAAGGUGUUCGUCUGAACGCGAGAAAUCCUCUUAUUUCUGUGCACUUUUCAGUGUGAGAUCAGCCAGUCGCAGUGUUGCAGUCUACACGGUGUCGAUGAUAAAAAAAAAUAAAUAAAUAGAUGUUUACGUUACUGUACAUCUGCGAUUUCGGAUAGACGCCCUUCCUAGAGUGUGUAAACCUGAUCACAGUGCAUGUUCAAGUCGCACCCUUACACAGCCAUGAUCGUGCCUCCCACUCUGUGGUUUGUAAAGCAUGGUUUCACCCAGAGCCAAACAUUUACUUCGGUAACUUAUCACGUAAAGCUUUUAUAUGUGUCUGAGGUGUUUUUUUUUUUCUUUUCUUUUUCUUUCUUUCUUUUUGUUUGUUUAAAUAUCACCUUCAUAAUAUGGCAGGCUAUUAAUUGCGGAUAUUCUCUGACAUGCUGAAUAGCUAGGACUGUGUGAGUCACUAUGAUUUCAGUAAUGCAUCUGGACUAAAGGGCAUGUAGAAUUACAGUAUGAUUUCUGAGUUAAGCAAUGCUGCUUGUAUCUGUGUGAGCCUCUCCAGUUAUUCCUUCUUCAACCCAUGCCUCCACCACACACGCAUGCGCACACACACACACACACACACACACACACACACGCAUACACACACACGUUCAGGUUAACCUUGGACCUUUCAUUAUUAUAAUUAUACCAAUAAUGCUUUGCCUACACAUAAAUCUCACCAUGACCUUAACAUCAGCAAACAAAAUAUAUGCUCUUUUAUUUGUUUGUUUGUUUGUUGGUUGGUUUUAAUAGUUUCCUCGAGUCCCCAUGAGGUCAAAACUUUCAGAUAUUCCUAUCCUUGCAGGAAAUUUGGUCCCCAGAAAGCUAUUAAAAUAUGCCCAACACACACACAAGCUCUCUCUCUCUCUCUCUCUCUCUCUCUCUCUCUCUCUCUCUCUCUCUCUCUCUCACACACACACACACACACACACACACACACACACACACACACACACACACACACACCUAUUUGACCUAGGAUAUGGGAUUACAUUAAUAACACUAUAUUUUUCCCCUGGGUGUACACUCAUGGAUCACAGCAAGUCGGAGUAAAAUUGAAUCGCCCACAGACGCACCACUGCCCCUCAUUCCUUAUGUUCUAAACAUUUUUUGAUAGAUUUCCAUAAUUUCAACACAAUACCUAGUUCAGGUAGCCUAUAUAAGCAACACCAAUAACACAUAUAUGAAAUUUGUAGUUGGCCUAACCUUGUUUCCUAUCCAGAGUACAGACAUAACUAUAUAGUGGCACUAUUCCACCAACAGCAAUGAAAACCUUCUUCAUACUCUGCUGAACAGAUCCUUUCUCUUGUGAUGCUGCACAGAUACAGUGGACUUCAUACUGGGGAUAUCAGAAUGCCCCACAACUGAGGAAUAGCCCUUAACAACAUUUGAAUUAAGUAUAGAACCAAUAUAUAGACAAAUACAUGUUUACAGCUUCUCAUAAUCCGGGGGGAGUUUUGACUGUGCAGUUCUCCUCUUUAAAUGAUUACGAUUCACAUCUCUUUCUGCUCCGCAGGUGAGUCUCCGUGCUUCUGCUAAGCACACAAGGACUUCUUUCAGAGAAAGCUCCUUUACAGAGGCAGGAUGGCUGGGAUUAUCUUUCCUUUUGUGUCCUUCUUUUCCUCUCGCCUUCACAACACUGACUGCAUAACCCAAUGCUACACAGCAGACAUUAAAGCUCCUGUCAGAAAGAGCACAUAUGCCCAAACAAGCUAUGAAGAUAUUGACAGAAUGUCUGCUACUGUAUUUGCAAGUUUUUGUACUAUAGCUAUUUCAGAGCCACGGAUGAUGCCGUAACCAAAACUACCCCGCCUGUUGUGCUUUUUUUUGUUGUUGUUGUUGUUGUAGUUUUUUUAUUUUAUUUAAUUAAUUACUUGAAUUUGAUGCUAUCUGCAAGGCAGUUGUGAUGAACACAACACAAGAGCAUAUAUUAAAACACUAAAGGUAUCAUCCAAGAUUAUGAAGAACAGAGUGCUUUUCAAAUAUUGAAUCAUGAAGGGGUGUUGUUCUCCUUCAACAAUUCCUAGAUAUAAUUAUGAAUGCAAUAACUAACCGUGAAGGAGAUCUGGCUGAUCUGUUAAAGAUUAGCAUGCUUGUAAACACUGAAACGUAAAGCACACACUUCAGCGAUUGUCGCAACUGAAAUUAGUGACUAUGUAGUCUACGUUUGACAAAAUCCAUGGUUCUCAUUUUUAAAGUCGCUUACUAAGCAUGCACUAUUAACACAAUGUAACCUACAGUAUGCCUCCAAAUCUGCAAACUCUCUACUUAAUAAGGAUAGUGUAACAUUUUGCUCUGAGCACUUAUAAAGCAAUGCUUUCUCAAAUUUUAUUCAGGUUCUUCUGUUACUGUGCUUCAUACCAAUAGGAACAAAACCAUAGAACAGUUCUUUCCUGCUUUCAUUCUCAUCAUCUGCAUUUGCAUUUUAUUCAGCUUACCAAAGGAAAUAGCCUGCAGUGAAAAAACUCAAACCACUAUGCAUAUAUGAGAGAGAGAGAGAGAGAGAGAGAGAGAGAGAAUGAAAGACCAGAAGAAAAAGAGACACAGAAGAAGAUGGAGUGACAGAGCACCCUGUGAAAAGAAAUGACAGAUCUCAGAGCUUCUGUCCAUUUCCAACAUAAUCUUCUGCAAAAAAGAAAAAAAAAAAAACCCUUCCACAUCAGCAUGGCAUGCAGUGAUAUGAAGUGCAAUCCACUCAUCCAUUGUCACUUAACCAUGGAUAUCUUUACUCAAAAGCCUUAAAAAGUCCUUUGAUAGUAUCUAGAGACCAAUUUACAAAAAUCUCCAUGCUAUUAUUACUAGAAAGCGGAUGCACAAUGCUGUCCUGUCUGUGACGACUGGGUCAUCCAUAGAGGAGUGAGAGUAGCGAGAAUCCUCAGUCGUUACCUAAGGACACACCACAGGCGAGUUAUCGUCAUCAGACCUCGCUAACUACAUGUGGUCUCAGCUCCUCUGACAACGAAAGGGACCCAUCAAUGUUUCAGUCCACAGAGAGUGCCUCAAAAAGGCCUUUAAAAAAAUUACCAAUGAAAACUCUUCUUUGUGGAUGUGCACAGCCAGCUGGCCGUGAUAGCCAGUACUGCCCAGGGACUGCAGAGUGCCAAGCUGGCAGAGGGAGGGCAGCUCUGGGGCAGAGAGGACUGGCAGCUCCAGGCCUCCAGGGGGGACAGAGGAGCAGUAAGCCCAUGGAGCAGUAACCUGCCCCCUGGGGGGAGAAGGGGAGGAGAUCUCAGCUGGGUGGAGAACUCAGCCUGCCUCUCGAGGGCAUCUCGCUGCUCUUGCUACAUUGCUGUCAUCUUGACCCACUGACUGCCCGUCGAUCCUGGCACCGUGCCAAGCUGUAAUGGCAGGCCGCACACAAAGGCACUCUGCCAGUGUCCUGCUGCAAGUCUGUGACUGGCAAUGAAUAUAAAACAGCUAUGUGUGUGUGUAUGUGUGUGUGUGUGUGUGUGUGUGUAUUCUCAGACUGUUUGUGUCUUAGUCCAUUAAUCCAGCUAGACUAGAUAUCUGUGUAUGUCAAUGUGAAUGGCAGUGUGAGCCAAUGUUUAGUAGGUUUGGGAAUUUUGGUAUCUACAUUAGAUAUUAGAUUUAUUUUCCUUCCCGGAAGACUAAAGUCGAUGUUAUACCGGAGCAGUUGUGCCUAGCUGAAUAUAAAAAGUUCUGUCAUAAGCAUACGCUCCAUAGCAACGUAUCAAACUUUCCUCACAGUGCUCUACAAUGUCUGAGAUGUUCUGCACCGACGUAUUUGAAUUAAGCUAAUCUCUACCACUCGCUUUUUUUGUAUAAGAUCGAUUGACGAAGAAUGCUUAAUGAAUUCAUGUCAUUUAUUGUAAAAAUUAUUCCUAAUGUAAAAAUGAUAUAGA
ensembl:lncRNA